AGUGAACGCUGGCGGUAGGCCUAACACAUGCAAGUCGAACGGCAGCACAGUAAGAGCUUGCUCUUACGGGUGGCGAGUGGCGGACGGGUGAGGAAUACAUCGGAAUCUACUUUUUCGUGGGGGAUAACGUAGGGAAACUUACGCUAAUACCGCAUACGACCUACGGGUGAAAGCAGGGGAUCUUCGGACCUUGCGCGAUUGAAUGAGCCGAUGUCGGAUUAGCUAGUUGGCGGGGUAAAGGCCCACCAAGGCGACGAUCCGUAGCUGGUCUGAGAGGAUGAUCCGCCACACUGGAACUGAGACACGGUCCAGACUCCUACGGGAGGCAGCAGUGGGGAAAAUUGGACAAUGGGCGCAAGCCUGAUCCAGCCAUACCGCGUGGGUGAAGAAGGCCUUCGGGUUGUAAAGCCCUUUUGUUGGGAAAGAAAAGCAGCAGGUUAAUACCCCGCUGUUCUGACGGUACCCAAAGAAUAAGCACCGGCUAACUUCGUG
rnacentral:rRNA from 1 species